AAAAUUUUUGCAAUCAAUUUAAAAACCGGGACAUUUUAGGGUUGGACCGGGACACCGGGACAAAUGGCCUAAAACCGGGACAUGUCCCGGAAAACCGGGACGUCUGGCAG